rnacentral:sRNA from 1 species
AUGACGCCACAGCGGUGCGUGUUGCUGUUUCCGGUCUGUUGGCCGCUGGAUUUGUUUUGUUUUGUUUUGGGUUAGGGAUCCGCGAGAAACGAGGAUGGACCGUAAAGGAUGAAGCAAACGUACAGCAUUCAGCUCUGCUACCACAAAUAUGAUUGCCUUAAAGAAGACUGAAAUUGUGUCCUGUGCAGGCCUGACUGUUUUCACUUCAUACAAGUUUCUUCUCUGCUGUUGCAAAUGGAUGACGAGUUUCCUUCCUUUGGUGUGGCAGGCUACCUGAUCUUCACCUAUCCAGAGGAGUUUUGAUUUGAUGGAGCCCCUUAGAUUGGUGUAUGCACUUAUUCCUUUUACGAUCUCAAGCAUGGUAACAAGGAUAGUGACCUUAAGGACUGCCAUCCAGCAUUUGCCUUACUGCCUGACCGGGCCACUCUGGUGCUCUUCCCCUUCGCCGCCCUCAGCUGUUAACAGCUAGCCAUCCUUCUUGGCCUAACAUCUUUCACUUGGAUGCAUUUGUCCAUCACUCUCUUGCUGCUUUGCGUUAUCAGCUCAGCCUGCACUAUUAAAUAUAGGUAAGAAGAGACCACUUCAGAGAAGUUGUUUGUUGGGCCUGAUGUUACGACAUCAUAAGAAAGCAUAGGAGAAUUUAUCUUAAGCUUUCAACCUUCCUAAUGCUGAGACCCUUUCAUACAGUUACUCAUGUUGUGGUGACCCCAACCAUAAAAUUAUUUUCAUGACUAAUUUGCUACUGUUUGGAUUGGAAUGUAAAUAUGUAAAUAUGCGGACUAUCUAAUAUGUGGCCCCAAAGGGGUUGGGACCCACAGGUUUGGAACUGCUGGUGGAAGCUGACUCAGUGAGACCAAGCAACCUGUUUCCACAUACAGAGCCGUUGCUGCUCAGUUUGGACCAUUCAUAGCCAGAACUUAAAACUAGGGACAGAAAGAAGUCCCCUUUCUUCAUAUUUGUGUGUACUUCAGUUUUGCAAAGAACUCAUUUCAUAUCAGGGAAUUGUGUACCUAACAGAAAAUUUUAAUUCGGAAUUACACAACCUAGUGCUUUACAAACCAGAAAAUCAGUACUAUUGCAAGCAUUCUAAGUCAGUGAUUCUCAAAUUCUCCAUGUUUCUACAAAGCCAGUUAAAGCAUCGGCCACUGGGUUCCCUACAGACAGAAAGGCUAAUACUACUAAGUUUAGGAUCAUACUAAGAAAUAUUAUCUAAACCAACAGGAGCUAAGCUAUUUGUUUUCUUGAUAUUCAGUUUCUUGAGUUUUUAAUGUAUUUUGGA